AGUGAAUAGUAACUUUCAGGUGCCUAAAAUCUAGGUGAAAAGGGAAUGCGGUUAAAGUCCGCAGCAGCCCCCGCUACUGUAAUUGAUGACGAACCUUUGUAUACCACUCCCUCAAGAGGAGGAAGGGAAAGGUUAGAAUGAUUCAUGAGCCAGGAGACCUGCCUGAGUGUUUGGAAAACG
rnacentral:ncRNA from 2 species